rnacentral:tRNA from 1 species
GGAGAUAUAGCUCAGUGGUAGAGUACCUGCUGAACAUGCAUGAGAUCCUGGGCUCAAUCCCCAAUACUGCA